rnacentral:rRNA from 1 species
CAGCCGCACGGGAAUACGAAGGGGGCUAGCGUUGUUCGGAUUUACUGGGCGUAAAGGGCGCGUAGGCGGACUGAUAAGUCAGGGGUGAAAUCCCAAGGCUCAACCUUGGAACUGCCUUUGAUACUGUUUGUCUUGAGUUCGAGAGAGGUAAGUGGAACUGCGAGUGUAGAGGUGAAAUUCGUAGAUAUUCGCAAGAACACCGGUGGCGAAGGCGGCUCACUGGUCCGGAACUGACGCUGAGGCACGACAGCGUGGGGAGCAAACAGGAUUAGAUACCCCGGUAGUCCCUGUCUCUUAUACA